rnacentral:rRNA from 1 species
AUUGAACGCUGGCGGCAGGCCUAACACAUGCAAGUCGAACGAGUGGCGGACGGGUGAGUAAUGUCUGGGAAACUGCCUGAUGGAGGGGUAUAACUACUGGAAACGGUAGCUAAUACCGCAUACCAUCAGAUGUGCCCAGAUGGGAUUAGCUAGUUGGUGGGGUAACGGCUCACCAAGGCGACGAUCCCUAGCUGGUCUGAGAGGAUGACCAGCCACACUGAAACGGAGACACGGUCCAGACAGCUAGGGUAGACAGCAGUGGGGAAUAUUGCACAAGGAGCGCAAACCUGAUGCAGCCAUGCCACGUGUAUGAAGAAGGCCUUCGGAUUGUAAAAUACUUUCAGCGGGGAGGCGUUACCCGCAGAAGAAGCACCGGCUAACUCCGUGCCAGCAGCCGCGGUAAUUC